GGAUGUGAGGGCGAUUUGGCUGUCAUAUCUGUCACUCCAUUGAUCACCAGGGUUGAUUCGGCUGAUCUACCAGCUAGCCCGGUGUCCCCUUCCCCACUAGCACUCCAUGUGCGUCCGUCCUGAAGCUGUGUGUUUGGUCAAAGAGAAUGACCAUCCCUGAUAGGAGGACCGGUCUUCAGUCAGGGUAUAUGAGUAGCUGCACUCCCCUGCUAGAGCCUCCAAACAGGCUCCAUUUGUAGGAGAAUGUAGAGUCAUCAAGCUUCCAAGACUCCAGACACAUCCAAAUAAGGCACUGCAUGUGGCAGUCUGCCUUUCUAA
rnacentral:snRNA from 2 species